AUAGCCGCAGAAAUUUAACUGUGCUAAGGUAGCAUAAUCAUUAGCUCUUUAAUUAAGAGCUCGUAUGAAAGGUUAAACAUUAUAUAUUCUAUAACCCUUUAAUAAAUCAAAAUUUAAUUAAGAAUCAAAAUGUUCUUAUUAUAUAAAUAGACGAUAAGACCCUAUUGAACUUUACUUUAGUUUAACUGGGGCAGUUAACUAAUAAUAAUCUUAAUUAAUCUCUUUUUAUAAAAAUCCAAUCUAUUUGAAUUUGAAUAAGUUACCAUAGGGAUAACAGCGUAAUUUGUUUCUAAAGUUCUUAUUUAAAAACAAGAUUGCGACCUCGAUGUUGAAUUAGUGUUCCUUUUUAAAUGCAACAAUUUUAAAAGUAGGUC
rnacentral:rRNA from 1 species